rnacentral:lncRNA from 1 species
UUUUUUUCCCAAGAAGUGUUUGAAGAACCCACAAGAGCCUGGGAAUGGCUGGGGGUGAGCUAGGCCUAGAUGGCAGACGGCACCUGUGAGGGAACCUCAAACCUGAGGGGUAUUCUAUUUUCCCAGUCAACUGGUAUGUGUGAGGGGAAAGAGGGAGACAGCGCCUCAGUAACCUUGACUGGAGACAAGCAGGAGACACAUGCGUGUCUGGAUCGACUUCGCCUGUGAUGGCUGUUAGCUAGCUUUCCUCCAGAAGCUGAGCUGAGCUGCCUGCUUGCCUGGCUGGCUGGCUGCUGAUGUGCUAUUACUCGCUUUGGAAGAGUUGCUUGUGUGGAGGAUGACACAUUAUUAUCCUUUAAUCUCAGUCUCAGCUUGUUGAGCAUCAAAUUGAAAUAUCCUGAACAGAUGUAAAAACACAUGUGAGCCUCAGCGCGCAAGCUGUGCUGCGCUUUGUUUCAUCUAUCCGUGAUGUGAGCCUUAAGGAGAAGCUUUUUAAAAUUUCAUCACUAUUCAAAAGGAUAAUUAAUACGUACCCCCAGGCUUUGAUUAUGCGAUACCCAGUGUGUAGCUGGGUGUUGCCAUAAUGAGCCACUCAUCAGUACUCUGCCUGUGCCUCCCCAACAAACAUACAGCUUGCAUAAGGUACUUAAGAUUCUACUAAGGUGCCAUCAUGCUUGGGUGCACGUGUGUGUGUGUAUGCGUGCUUAUAUGUGUAUGCACCUGUGUAGGGGCUUGUAUGUGUGCUUGCAUGCGUGGUGUGAGUCCCCUUCUAAUUUGCAGCACAAUGCUAUAGGUUAGAUCACGCUGGUUGCUGCAGUUUGUUUACAACAGGACCCCUGUCAGAUUGUCAGCAGAAAGCUGGGCCCUUUCUAGAAAUCCUGCCACUGCCUACACACACACACUCUUACACACACUCCCCCCCUGGACACACACACACUACCUCUCCCCUGCUUGUUCCCAGUCUAAAACCUUGGGAGGAGAUCGUGGUUGUCAGUGAGUGGGUGCUUAGGUGAUGCAGCGGCAAGAUGGACAGGCAGGUGGAGACUGACAGGCCGUGGAAUACGAAGGGGAAUAUUGGGAGUUCAGACAUAAUGAGACCUGUCAAUUUGAAUGCCUCAAGGCUAAGCAGUGAGCCGGCUAUGGCUGACAACUGAGGCAGCCAUUUCUACUCGAGAAAAAAUAUUUCAGGGUAAUCUCUCACCCUUGACCCUGACCAGUCUCUAAACAGCACCGUUACAGCACCAAUUACAUGUCCGAUGAACGAAAUCACGACUUCCACUAAACACACCAUAGUGUGAUGCCGCUGAAAAUAUAAAGCUGUGUUUAUCACUAUGACCUUCUUAUUUGAAGGGUCUGUAUUUAAAAAAUAAAAAAGCAUUAAUGUCAGCUCUUUUUUGUUGUUGUUUAUCAUUGAGGGCGCAUAUGUCCUACUGAGACUGCCCUUUCUGCCUGACAGAUAAUAGGACAUCACUGUGAGAGGGUUGGAAUUUCCACUGACUUCCUAUUCCUGAUACAACAUGCUGCUUCUGCUUAGAUAUAUUCAGGCCUCUUUGCCCAAAGUUGUGGGGUAUAUGGGGAAUAGAAAGUGUCAUUAGAGAUUUGCCCGUGGCUACAUAUAGCCUGUGAUGGUGCUUUAGCCUCUUUAGAAUUUAGCAUGUUCACCGAGCGCUGAAGUGACACGCAAGAGGGGCACUGGGACCUGCUGACAGCAGGCGGACCUACGUAACUUUCCUGUCCUUAAAUCCAAUUUUGUGCUUGACACGGAGCGGUAUUAGCUUUGGACAGGUGAGUGAUAAGUUCUGUGGGUGCAUUCGCCACAUAGAUAUAAGCUGUCUCGCACAGGAACCGUUAGUUUUUCCCACAUCAAGUCACCCGCAAGCUCAAAUUGAGCUAUAGAGGGUAUGGUAAUUACAACCAGUGCUAAGGAAGUCUUUGAUGAAGCAGACAAGCAGUGGUGUGUACGCUAAGAGAUGAUUUUAUCAAUUACUAAUCAAUAAUCCUCUCGCAGCUUAAAGCAGAUGAAAUAUACAUUUGCCCCUGUAGAUUAUAGCGCUGAAAAAAAUCGUUACAUUCGGCACUGCUGCCUGUUUUCAGGGUUACUGCUUUAUUGACUUGUGUAAAUGAUCGUGCACCUGGGAGAAGGCUGGAUUAUGAAAGGAUAAAUAAUGAAAAAGGAAACAAU